UUAAGCAUAUCAAUAAGCGGAGGAAAAGAAACCAACAGGGAUUGCCUCAGUAACGGCGAGUGAAGCGGCAACAGCUCAAAUUUGAAAUCUGGCUCCUUCGGGGUCCGAGUUGUAAUUUGUAGAGGAUGCUUCGGGUGCGGCACCGGUCUAAGUCCCUUGGAACAGGGCGUCAUAGAGGGUGAGGAUCCCGUAUGUGACCGGCGACCAAGUCCAUGUGAAGCUCCUUCGACGAGUCGAGUUGUUUGGGAAUGCAGCUCAAAAUGGGUGGUAAAUUUCAUCUAAAGCUAAAUACCGGCCAGAGACCGAUAGCGCACAAGUAGAGUGAUCGAAAGAUGAAAAGCACUUUGGAAAGAGAGUCAAAAAGUACGUGAAAUUGUUGAAAGGGAAGCGCUUGUAACCAGACCUGCCGUCGGGUGCUCCGCGGGCAUUCUUGCCCGUCCACUCACCCGCGAUCAGGCCAGCAUCGGUUUUGGCGGCCGGAUAAAGACUCGAGGAAUGUAGCUUCGCUUCGGGGAAGUGUUAUAGCCUCUUGUGCAAUACGGCCAGCCGGGACCGAGGACCGCGCUUCGGCUAGGAUGCUGGCGUAAUGGUUGCAAGCGACCCGUCUUGAAACACGGACCAAGGAGUCUAACAUCUAUGCGAGUGUUUGGGUGUCAAACCCAUGCGCGGAAUGAAAGUGAACGGAGGUGGGAACCCUUAAGGGCGCACCAUCGACCGAUCCGGAAGUUUACGGAUGGAUUUGAGUAUGAGCAUAGCUGUUGGGACCCGAAAGAUGGUGAACUAUGCCUGAAUAGGGUGAAGCCAGAGGAAACUCUGGUGGAGGCUCGCAGCGGUUCU
rnacentral:rRNA from 1 species